AUUCAAAUAGUUUAAUAAAAAUAUUGAUUUGUGGAAUCAAAGUUAUAAGAUUUUAUUUUGAAUA
rnacentral:tRNA from 1 species